UACGUAGGGCGCAAGCGUUAUCCGGAAUUAUUGGGCGUAAAGAGCUCGUAGGCGGUUUGUCGCGUCUGCCGUGAAAGUCCGGGCUCAACUCCGGAUCUGCGGUGGGUACGGGCAGACUAGAGUGAUGUAGGGGAGACUGGAAUUCCUGGUGUAGCGGUGAAAUGCGCAGAUAUCAGGAGGAACACCGAGUGGCGAAGGCAGGUCUCUGGGCAUUAACUGACGCUGAGGAGCGAAAGCAUGGGGAGCGAACGG
rnacentral:rRNA from 1 species